GCCAUAGUAUCCGUGAUUUCGGCCAUGAUAAAGAGCGAGGGCGGCGGCGGCGGCUCUGUCCUAUAUACUUGACCACAAUUCAAUAUUUCAGCGCUAUUAGGGGAAACUGAAGGCAAAGCAGUCUUUCAGGCUGAUACAGCAGCAGUGAGACGGACAUCAAAGAGCUGUGAUGAGAAGCCACAUAAAGGUCAGGCCUGAUGGGCCAUCACUGAUAUGACC